rnacentral:rRNA from 1 species
UACAGAGGGUGCGAGCGUUAAUCGGAAUUACUGGGCGUAAAGCGCACGUAGGUGGCGACGUAAGUCGGGUGUGAAAGCCCCGGGCUCAACCUGGGAAUUGCAUUCGAGACUGCAUUCUGGAGUACGGAAGAGGAAGGCGGAAUUCCCGGUGUAGCGGUGAAAUGCGUAGAUAUCGUGAGGAACACCAGAGGCGAAGGCGGCUACCUGGACAAUUGCUGACGCUCAGGCACGAAAGCGUGGGGAGCAAAAGGG